AUGAUGAUGGGUAGUCACAACAGCAAACAAAGAAUGAAGCCUUUUGAGACUAAAAGCCCACUGAGAAAGAGGCGCAGGAAAAUAUCAGUCGCAUUCACCGGGCGCAUACCUUAUCUUAGGUCUCGAGCUUCAAUUGGCUUCAAACCCGCUUUUCUCGCGUGGCCCUCCGGCAAAAAGAAAAGAAGCUUCAAUCUGUCCAAUUCCGCCCGAGAAGGAGUGCUGGUUUUGGAUUCUUUUUUUGCCCGCGCGUAG